AUGCUUCAGGACGUCGUCGAUCGUCUUGAUGUCGGGAUUGGCAUCGAC
rnacentral:sRNA from 1 species